rnacentral:rRNA from 1 species
AUUGAACGCUGGCGGCAGGCCUAACACAUGCAAGUCGAGCGGAUGAAGGGAGCUUGCUCCUUGAUUCAGCGGCGGACGGGUGAGUAAUGCCUAGGAAUCUGCCUGGCAGUGGGGGACAACGUUUCGAAAGGAACGCUAAUACCGCAUACGUCCUACGGGAGCAAGCAGGGGACCUUCGGGCCUUGCGCUAUCAGAUGAGCCUAGGUCGGAUUAGCUAGUAGGUGCGGUAAUGGCUCACCUAGGCGACGAUCCGUAACUGGUCUGAGAGGAUGAUCAGUCACACUGGAACUGAGACACGGUCCAGACUCCUACGGGAGGCAGAAGUGGGGAAUAUUGGACAAUGGGCGAAAGCCUGAUCCAGCCAUGCCGCGUGUGUGAAGAAGAUCUUCGGAUUGUAAAGCACUUUAAGUUGGGAGGAAGGGCAGUAAGUUAAUACCUUGCUGUUUUGACGUUACCGACAGAAUAAGCACCGGCUAACUCUGUGCCAGCAGCCGCCGUAAGAC